GCCCUUGUAGCUCAGUCGGUAGAGCAUGAGGCUUUUAACCUCAGGGUCCAGAGUCGAGCCUCUGCAAGGGCG
rnacentral:tRNA from 1 species